rnacentral:rRNA from 1 species
UACGAAGGGGGCUAGCGUUGUUCGGAAUCACUGGGCGUAAAGCGCACGUAGGCGGAUUUUUAAGUCAGGGGUGAAAUCCCGAGGCUCAACCUCGGAACUGCCUUUGAUACUGGAGAUCUUGAGUCCGGAAGAGGUAAGUGGAACUGCGAGUGUAGAGGUGAAAUUCGUAGAUAUUCGCAAGAACACCAGUGGCGAAGGCGGCUUACUGGUCCAGCACCGACGUCAGGCACGAAAGCGUGGGGAGCAAACAGGG